rnacentral:tRNA from 1 species
CCCCCUGUGGCUCAGUUGGUAGAGCAUGGUGUUUGCAACGCCAGGGUUGUGGGUUCGAUUCCCACGGGGGA